rnacentral:tRNA from 1 species
CGGGGCAUAGCUCAGCCUGGUAGAGCACCGGUUUUGGGAACCGGGGGUCGUAGGUUCGAAUCCUGCUGCCCCGACCA